AUGACCUGGGCUCUUUUCCUCCUCAGCCUCCUCAGUCAGGGCACAGGGCUCUGGGCCCAGUCAGCCCAUACUCAGCCUCCCUCAAUGUUUGGGAAUAAAGGAGAAAGACUCUCCAUCACCUGUACAGGAACCAGCAAUGACGUUGGAAGUUACGAUGUCUCCUGGUACCAGCAGAAGGAGCUCACAGCCCCCAAACGGCUGAUUUAUAGGAACAACAAUCGUCCCUCAGGGAUCCCUGAUCGCUUCUCAGGCUCCAAGUCUGGCAACACAGCGACUCUGACCAUCUCUAGCCUCCAGCCUGAGGACGAGGCUGAUUAUUACUGUCUCUCAUAGAGCAGUGGUGGCAAUU